UUAAUACUGGAUAGAUCAAAGAAACUGGAAUGUUCUCUGGUCUAAAACUCCGGUGCCCAAGGAAGGGUCUGCGGCCUAUCAGGUAGUAGCGGGUGUAACGUACCUACUAGCCAGCGACGGGUAAGGGUUGUGAGAGCAAGAUCCCUGAGAUGGAUUCUGAGACAUGAAUCCAGGCCCUACGGGGUGCAGCAGGCGCGAAAACUUUACACUGCGGGAAACCGCGAUAAGGGGACCCCGAGUGCCAGCACCUAGUGCUGGCUGUCCUACUGUCUAAAUAACAGUGGUUAGCAAGGGCCGGGCAAGACCGGUGCCAGCCGCCGCGGUAACACCGGCGGCCCGAGUGGUAACCGUUUUUAUUGGGUUUAAAGGGUCCGUAGCCGGCUUACUAAGUCUCUUGGGAAAUCUGGCGGCUCAAUCGUCAGGCGUUCA
rnacentral:rRNA from 1 species